CCCAGUGACUACGGGUUCAACGGCCGCGGUAUUUUGACCGUGCAAAGGUAGCGCAAUCACUUGUCUUUUAAAUAAAGACCUGUAUGAAUGGCUAGACGAGGGCUUAGCUGUCUCCCCCUUCCAGUCAGUGAAAUUGAUCUAUCCGUGCAGAAGCGGAUAUACCUCUACAAGACGAGAAGACCCUUUGGAGCUUAAGGUACAAAACUUAAUCACGUUAAACAACUUAACAAAGAGAUAAGAACUUAGUGAGACAUAAGAUUUUACCUUCGGUUGGGGCGACCACGGAGGAAAAACAAGCCUCCAAGAGGAAUGGGUUUAUACCCUAAAGCCUAGAGAAACCUCUCUACGCCGCAGAACAUCUGACCAGCAAUGAUCCGGCAUAAAGCCGAUCAACGGACCAAGUUACCCUAGGGAUAACAGCGCAAUCCUCUCCCAGAGUCCAUAUCGACGAGGGGGUUUACGACCUCGAUGUUGGAUCAGGACAUCCUAAUGGUGCAGCCGCUAUUAAGGGUUCGUUUGUUCAACGAUUAAAGUCCU
rnacentral:rRNA from 1 species